ACCAAUUUUUAAUACUUCAGAUUUUUAUGGGGGUUUUUGCUGGGUCAAGGAAAUUAUUGACAAGCAGAAUUCAAAUACAAAAAAUAAUGAAAAAUGAAAAAAUCCCGCUCCAAAUUUUUGAAAAUUGUGGACGAGAAACAUGAUAUCAAUUUUCAUUGGCCUUACUUCGCCAAUGAACUCAUAAGACGGGUCAUUUUUUAAGAACGAUAAAACAUUUGCAUCCGAUCUGUAUCUGAUAUACAAACUCUCGCCUUCGGCUCGAGUUUGUAUAUCAGAUACAGAUCGGCUGCUCAUG